CAAUAGCGUAUAUUUAAGUUGUUGCAGUUAAAAAGCUCGUAGUCGGAUUUUGGCUGAGAACGAUCGGUCCGCCGUUAGGUGUGCACUGAUUGGUCUCAGCUUCCUGGUGAGGAGGUGUGCUUCACGGCCACUUAGUCACCGUGGUUACUUUGGAAAAAUUAGAGUGUUCAAAGCGGGCUUACGCUUGAAUAUAUUAGCAUGGAAUAACACCAUAGGACUCCUGUCCUAUUUCGUUGGUCUCGGGACGGGAGUAAUGAUUAAGAGGAACAGUUGGGGGCAUUCGUAUUUCAUUGUCAGAGGUGAAAUUCUUGGAUUUAUGAAAGACGAACUUCUGCGAAAGCAUUUGCCAAGGAUGUUUUCAUUGA
rnacentral:rRNA from 1 species